rnacentral:rRNA from 1 species
GCACGGGGAAUGGGUUAUUCGAACACGCGCAGAACCUUACCAGCUCUUGAAUUCGGGGUAUGGGCAUUGGAGACGAUGUCCUUCAGUUAGGCUGGCCCCAGAACAGGUGCAGGAGCACAGGGGCUGCGUGGGUGUCGUCAGCUCGUGUCGAGAGAUGUUGGGUUAAGUCCCGCAACGAGCGCACCCCCAUUUUUUAUGUGCUACCAUUUAGUUGACCACUCUAGGGAGAGUGCCGGGGAUAACCCGCGAUGAAGCAGUCCUCAUGGCCCUUACGGGCUGGGCUACACACGUGCUACAAUGGUGGUGACAGUGGGCAGCGAGACAGCGAUGUCGAGCUAAUCUCCAAAAGCCAUCUCAGUUCGGAUUGCACUCUGCAACUCGAGUGCAUGAAGUUGGAAUCGCUAGUAAUCGCAGAUCAGCAUGCUGCGGUGAAUACGUUCCCGGGCCUUGUACACACCGCCCGUAAAUUUUCAGAGCCC